rnacentral:lncRNA from 1 species
CCAAAGCUCGAGGAGUGUCUCAAAUGUAUUAGUUUUCAGCAAUCCACGUUUCUUCACGGGAUGCAGUGGUGUUGCCAGAACUUAUGUGAACUUUGUGUUGUUGAAACCAAAUGCAGAGAUUGCGCGCAGUGAAGCAAUGCCAGGCGCCAUUGCAAGUGAUGCAGUUGUUGCUGCCGCAGCUCACCUGCCAAGUCAUGCGGCCAGCCUUGUGGACAUGGCCAUGAACACUUCAGCUGAGCAUGUCGUGGCUGAAUUUUUCCUUGACUCAUCUAUGGAUGAAGCAUCGGGCCUUCCAAGGGAGCUCAUCUGCACUCCGUCGCACGAGCAUGCUGAGGGAGCCCCAGCAGCACUGGAAGA